CUAGAUUGCAAUAGAUGGAUAGUUGCUACUUUAAAAAUGUCCUGAAUUCUCCCUUAUCAUCAUAGAUAGCAAUCAGUGUAUGAAGAAAGAUUAACAGAUGUUCGAAAGUUCUGGAGAAGAGCUUAGUUGGAAUUUUGGAUUUCUAUUAACCUCAUAGUGGAAGUGUAUUAAGGCCAAAACUCCGCACCAGACUUCAAUUCCAUGUUGUUUUGAGUACUAGGAAUUUGUUGCAAGUACUAGAAUGUAUGCUGUCGUCUUAUUAUCUAACAAGGCCAGGCACAGUGGCUCAUGCCUGUAAUCCCAGCACUUUGGGAGGCUGAGGUGGGUGGAUCACCUGAGGUCGAGAGUUCGAGACCAGCCUGGUCAACAUGGUGAAACCCUGUCUCUACUAAAAAUACAAAAUUAUCCGGGCGUGGUGAUGCAUGCCUGUAAUCCUAUCUACUUGGGAGACUGAGGCAGGAGAAUCACUUGAACCCGGGAGGCGGAGUUCACGUGCCUGCUUGGUUUCCUAGAAUAUCUUCUCCAUAAGACAUGAGAUUCAAGCCUGGGAUAUUGUAGUGAAGAAGAGAGAAAGAGAAUGGCAACACCUGAGUUCCAGGAGUCAGCCUGCUAGUAGUAACAGCUAAGUCUUGGUGUUGCUAUGGGGUGGUCUGGCUCUUCAACUAGGCUUUGAUAUUCUUCUAUUGGACAUAAACAAUCUCAGAAAACGUUAAUAUCAGACAAGGCUAUUCUGUCACCAUGAUAGACCAAGACUAAGGCAAGACCACUUCAUAAUAAUUCCUGUACAAAGGCAAAAUAUGAACAUUGUCCACAUCAAAUAAGUGACUAAACAUUUCUUUAAACCAGUUAAUACGAGUGAAUGCUAUUUCCUUAUGAAACAGUGUUAGACUUGCUCUCAUCUAUCUCCCUUCUAGAUUAAACUCAGUCAUAGAAUUGUCUAAACUUUAUGAUAGCAUCCAAUCCAGAGUAAGCCCACUUCUUUCAAUCCUCCCGAAAAUCACUAAAGCAAAGUUCAGAUAGAGUAAGUCAUUUCUAAAACCCAUUUACAGAGAUGCUCCACAAUUCCCCAUGAUGUGCAUUGUCCUUUGCUACGAUGGGAAAUUAACUCAACUUGUUCAAAUACAGGUGUGUUCUUUUUUCUCCUUAGUAGAGGGCAUUGAAUACAAGAGAGAGAGAAGAGAACACAAAGCAGUUUCAGAAAAACACCCAAAAUAAAUCACAAGAAGUAUACCCAAAAUACUUGAAACUUUUCUUGUGUUCCACCAAAAUCUCUAAAUCCCAGAGUAUAUCCUUGAAUUUCAAUUCCAUCAUGUUAGAAUUUAUUUUCAAAGAUGGAGGAUAGAGUAAAUGGUCAAUGCUUCUCUGGUGCAGAGAGGGGUCUUCUUAAAUAUACCCCUAACUUUAUGUCCCAUUGAAAAAAGUAAUAAAAGUAAAUUAAUUAAGAGAAUAUUGACCUCUGAAAAAAUUGCUUGCUCCUUCUUACAGAUAUUUAUGUCAGAGCACAGGGAAUAGUAUUUUAUCACCUUCCUGACUUUUUAUUCCCAUUGCAUAAAUCUGUCAGUGAGCAAGCUCUAUCCCCAGCUGGGCUGGUCUAGCUACAAAAUAAGACAGGCAGAUACCAAUGCAAAACUGUGGUUUAUUUUUGAAAAACUUUUACCUCUGCUUUCAUUUUGGCUUUUAAUAAGUUUGACAAUUCUCAGCAUUUUUUUUUUUUGCUUUUUUGUCCAAAUUUCCUGCCUGAUGGGGAAGUCUGAGGAUGAUUAAUGUUCAAGAAAGUUGUGAGGAAAUGUGCCACCCAAGUUUAAUGCAUUAUUAUUUUACUAAAUCACAAUUUUCUUGGUGUCCAUAUCAGUAGCCUAACCUUAUGCAGUAAUAACUGAUUCAGACUUCAUUUAUAAAACGGAAGGGAAAAAUGCAAGAAUAAAAAGGAAGAGAAUUCACAGCAGAGCAAAGAGAAAUUACUGCCAUAUGAACUCUAACACUGUAGCAUUCUUUCACGGUCUGGUACUUUUUAAUCUUGAGUCAUAGAUGGAAAAAUAAAGGAAAAAAAUUGAGGCACAACCAUUCUACAGUAGGCAAGGCAAUUGAGAUUGCUUGGAUUCAUUACUCUGAACUCCAGCAAACAGCUACAGAAUGCCUAGAAUUCCCCAGACAUGACUAUUACAGCUCUCUGUGGUGGCUCAACAGACUUCGUUUUCAGAUAGGUUAUUUGGAGCACCAAUUUUCUUUCUAAAAAUCUUUGUUUUGGCCUUGAUUUGGAAAUAACCUAUGACCGUAGUAUUUAUUUUUCUGCUUAAGAAUUCAUAGAGAAUUUUGGUUUGGGCAGCAUGACAACUUUUACUUAAUAAAAAUAUGAGAAAAAUAUAUAGUUAUAUAGGCUGAUUCCUUUUCACAAUAACUCUACUGAGCUCAUAUAAUUCAAUCUAGUUUAUUUGUUUUUGUUUUCAUUUUUCUUUAUGUCUCUGACUGAGGCCCAGUGGGCACACUCAAUUUGGAAGGGUUUUAGAAAACAUGGCUGAAAAAUGAUGAAUUACGUAUGUAUUAAAUUGAUGUUCACAAUUUCCUGUAAGUAUAAUCUCUUUUCAUGAAAGUGAUGACUCUUUCAUAAUAGCUGAACUUUAUAAACACACGCACACACAAACUAAAUUAAAUUAAAUUAAAUAUGUCCAGGUAAUAUUUCUAAAUAUAUAUAGAAAGUUAAUCUAAAUUCUAAAUACCUUGUUGAUGUAUGCAGUAUUUUAAAGUCAUUUGGGGGAUAACAAUUCUGGCAUUGUCCUAUAGCAACAAUAAAGAGAGGCAGUUUAAAAACAGCAAUGUAAAGAAGGAUUUCAAGCCAACAUUAAUGGUGUGAUUUAGUCAAGCCCUUUUUAUUGUGGAAUUUUAUAAACCAUUCAAAAUUAUACUUAUAGCUAACAUUUCAAUAUAUUAAAAAUGCUCACAAUAAAAAUUAAUUUCUAAAAAGGCAAAUGAAUGGAGGAUGCAUAUGCAAUAUGUCCUUAACUAUAAAUAUGUUGAAAGAUGAGAGAUCAUGUGGCUGAUAGGCCAGUUGAUACAUAAUAAAAAGAAUAAAUAUAAAGAGACAAAGAGAGAAAAAAAGGAAUAAGAAAGGAAGAACAUAAAGGAAGAAGGAAGAGAGGGAGAGAGGAAGAAAGCAAUAGACGGAGGAAAGGAAAAGGUAGGAGGAAAAAAGACAAAGCUAGCAGGAAACCAAUAUAUAUAUAAUAAAUAUUAAUGUUAAGAAUAUAUUAAUUAAUGGAAGUGUUAAUGAUCUGUGAGUGGUCUGCCCAGAUGUGAUUCUUACUAUACUAUUACAUAGCCCAAAUUUUCUUAAUUGGACAUACAUUUUCUGUAGCCAGAAAAUUAAAAUAUUAAUUUCAGAAAAAAAUUGUUAUUUCUAUCCUCUAAAUGCAUGCCCCAAUGAAUAAUAGUCAAAUAUUAAAAUUACACACACAAAAGUUGUGAAAUAGAAGACUAUAUAUAUUUUUUCAUUAACAUAAACAGAAAAAUUCCUACUAGCUCUUCACAUCAGGAUUUGUAUGACCCAUUAACGUGUUCAAAUGCAACAUUGCUCAUUAAAGGAAGAGUUCUUACAACUCAAUUCAAGGUAAUUAUUAUUUUUAUUUUCUUUGUACUAAUGUCAUUUUGAAUAAAAUAUAUUCAUCAUUAAAACUUUUAUGAGCUCCUACAAGUGCAAAAGAAAAGAAUUUUGAUUGAUGUUUCUGACUGUUGAAUGUUAACCUCUAUCCUAAAGAUUGCUCACACAUAAUGGAAAAGUUAAUUCCCACUACAGUGGUAAUAUUCAUUGUACAGAUGAGGGGACAAACAUUAUGGUAUACACUAACUUCUAGCCUGACAUGGUAUUUCCAUUAAUCUGAAUCUAUCAUUAGUCUUUACUUUGGAACCUAAGCAAAACUGCAUCAACACUUACAGGUGGAUCAUAAAGACAAUUGUGAAAAUCAGUACCUGGAUUUUCAAAAAUGUUUAAUUGAUACUUUCAAUAUUCUUUUUUGAGAUAUUUUUCCUCUUCCAGGCAAUAAGGCCCCAGCAACUGACCUCACAGGAAUAGUCCCUUGCUUCCUAGCUUGGCAGCACCCCACACUGUUGGUCUUGCAACAGGUAUGCAGAUACACACAAAAUGAAAAAAAAGCACAAGACAGAGUGAAUGGAUGUAUUUAGGUCCUGGUUACUUGACUAUAAUUUGUGAGAUAAAGUAUUUCUAAAGAGUAUUUUCCACAAUUCAUCCAAGUCUCUGUUUCAGCAUCCUAAUUCAAUAUUUGUACUUAUUAACCUACAGACUUGGAUAACAAAAAACUCAUUUAAAAAUAGAAAAGUAGCUCAUAAUUUUAAAGAAUAUAGAGAAGGCACAAUGAAAAUGAAAAUAUAUAAUAUCUUCACUAGCCAGGGAUAACUGUUAUUCCUCCAGCCAGAGAUAACUUUUAUUAUAUUUUUAGAUAAUUAUACAUCCUUACAAUUUUCUAUGUCUUAGUUUUAUAUAAAUAUGUGUUUUAUAUCACAAAAGUUUAAAUCUUUAAUAUUUAAAGAGGUUUAAAACACUGGUGUUUUCUGCAAACAAAUUAUGUCAUAAAAUAAUUUUCAUAGUAAAAUGCAUGCUAUUUUAAUUAACUUUGUAAUGUUACCUUAGAUGUAUAAAAAUGUAUUUAAACAAAUCCCUUCUUAUUUAAAUUUAGCUUACUCUUGGAUUUUCCAGUUUAUUUACCACAUACUUAUUAAUAUGUACUAUAGUUAUUUAAUAAUGUAUUUACUAUUAUAAUUAGCAUUGACACUGAGACAUGUUUUUUCACAAAUAUUUAGUGUUUUACAGUUCAAUUUUUAUAACAUAUAAUUAGUGAAUUGUACGAUGUAGAUAUUGAAUUUUUGAAAUUAUUUUGUAUGAAUAGUUUUACAUAUUUAUGAUACUAAUCUCAUGUUUUAAAUUUGUUGCAAAUGGUUUUCCUGAUGUUUGUCUCCUCUUAAAGACUAUGGUCUUUCUUCAUAUAGACUUUAAAAAAAAUGUUAUGUACUCAACUGACUUCUUUAUUAAAUAUAUUGUUUCCUAGCUUAUGAUUAUAUAGAUAUUUACCUAUAUGGACUUCUGAUGAUAUAUAUAUAUAUUUACAUAUUAUGAUAUAUUGAAUAUUUAAUACAGCUGAGUUUUGCUUUGGCAUUAAGUAUAGGAUUAACCUCUAUCCUUUACCCACUAAAAAGAAAUGUUAUCUUUAUAUUAUAUGUUUCAAUAUAAAUUCCUAAAUUUAAACUUAAUGUGAUUAUUCUAUAUAUAUAACUUGACAGUAGUGUCCAUUUAUUUGAUUAAAAUAAAAUUUUAACCUCAUUUAUUACAUAAUAAAUUAAGACUUUCCAUCACAUUUUCUUACACAAAUCUUUAUAUUUCUAGAUAAACUUAAAAAUCAUUAUUUUCCAAUUCUAAAAAUCUAAUAAAAUGUUCAUUAUAAAUCUAACAAAUAGGCUAACAUUAGAAGUAAUGCAUCUUUGAAAAUAUUAAUGCAAGCUAUCCCAUUGCAUGUAUUUAAAUUAUCUUGUUUAAUAGUUAGAUUCCUGUUCUCUUUACAUAGAGCAUAUUUAGAUGUGAUUAAGUUUCGUAUGAUUUUGAGCAACGUUUUCUAAAGAGAUUUUUUCAUCAUCUUAUAUAUGUCUUGUUUUGGAAAGUUGCAUUAAAUUUGCAACUGGCUAAUUUAUUUUCUUUUUUGAGCUGAUUAGGCAAUUGUAUUAACAUUGAAAUGUUUUUCCUGUUUUUGAUUUUUUAAAUUAUUUUGUUUUCUUGUGUUAUUGAUUUAGAAUGAGAGCUCACGUCUUGUCUUGUUCUUGAUUUUUAAUACAAAUGAUUUGAUCAAUGGAAGAUAUAAACAUUAACCAUGACUACUGCUUUUGGCUUGAUAUAAGUUUUAUUUUAUUAUGUUGGAGAAAUAGUCUGUUCUGGUUUUAUUGUUUUGCCAGGAAUGAAUGUAGAAUUUGAUCAAAUCUAUCUUUAGCUUAUUUCAAUAUAAUUUGCAGCUAAUGAAUUCUCUAAUUGGAUCAUCCUUGAAUUUUAGGGAUAAAUACUAGUUCUUCCUGUUAUAUUUAUUUUUUUGCAUGCUACUUAAUUUAAUUCAAAAUAUACAGAGUUAAUAUGCUUUUAUUUUAAUGCCAUCCUCUGCAAGUUAGUAAGAAAUAUGCUGAGUUCAAAAAUGCAAUGGCAAAUCCUUUUGGCUGAUCCAUGUGCUGAAGCAAUUCUAAUCAUGUAAACUUAAUCUACUGCCUAAAAAUUCUACAGAAAUCUCUUAUAAAACAGUUUUAACUCAGUAUCAUUAUAGGUGUAUUGGAAGAUGGUUUGCUGUUGUGUUGGUUGUUUUUCUCAUAUAGUUAGUGAAAUACUUAAAUUGUAUUUCUCUAAUUAAUUCGGCUUUGAUCAAUUGUAUUUUCUCACAAUAUCGUAUAAUUUCCUAUGAGUUUUAAUAUGUAUUAUUAUUUGAUAUAAUCUCCUAUUGUUUGUAAAAUAUAUUUGAUCUAUACAGUUAUAUCAUAUUAAUAAUUCACACUGGCAAUUGUUUG
rnacentral:lncRNA from 1 species